CAGAGGGUAGUUUAAUAAAAAAUUUUAAUUUUGGGAAUUAAAGAUAAAUAAGUAUUUUUUCCUCUGA
rnacentral:tRNA from 1 species